CCCUGCGCAGCCUGACCCCCCCCGGGAGGGUGCUGCCCCCGGAGCUGGGGGACGGGCGCAACGUCCCCCCCGGCCCGAGCCGCGCUCCGAGGAGGAGCCGCCCCCCCUUCCCGGGGGAGCCCCGGGCGCCGCUCCCGAGCACCACAGCCAUAGCCCCGGGCUGCGGCGGGACCCCCGGCGGGACCCCCGGCCCCGCUCCCCGACCUGCCGCACUCAGGUACCCCCGGCCCCGCCGCCUGCAGCCCCCCGAGGCCUCCUACGCGCCCUAGCUGGUGACAGAUAGCCUUCACCGUCCCCUCCCGCCCAGCUCCCACCGACAGAUUGCAGAAAUCACUCCCCAGCCCCCCUCCUGCCCCUCCCAGAGCAGCCCUGGGCGGCAGCGGAGGAUGAGGCAGAGAAUUCACCCGGGGCUCCAGAGCCUCACGACCAACUCCAAAGAUGCGGCCAAGACGGGCAGAGCCGGGAGCUCCCCGGGCCGGGCGCAGAGCCGGCCCCGCCUCGGCUGCUCCGCGCACCCGGCACAGGCAGCGGCACCCCCGGAGCGGGACCCCGCGCACGGCCCAGGCACCGGAUCCUCCCUCGGCCGUGCAAGAAAACACCCCCGAAGCAUCGAGAGUCAACUUCAGUUCCUCCCGAGCCCCCGUUCACAUCGGCGAGCACAGGCACAACCUGCUGAGAACAAGGACGAGACCACGGCACAGGUUUGACCUCCAGCCCCAGGUGCGUUGGAUUUGCCAAAAAAAAACCCACGAAAGGGUGCGAUGUCAACACGGUGUACAUAGUGUACAGUAGGGGAGAGAAUUAAUGUAUCUUAAUUUGUCAUUAUUUUGCUGACCAAAGCUGUACAUUUUUCCUACUCCUGGCUCCGUCUCCUUUGGGAUUCGAAGGGGUUCCGACACCCCGCGCGUCCGGCCCGCAUCGGCACUUCUGACAAUGCACUGUUUCUACGGAUUCUCAUGCUUUUUCCAUUUGAUUGCUGGGAUUACAUGAAUCGUUGACUUUAUUUUUACACAAUAAAGCGUGAAGAAAGACA